AUUGAACGCUGGCGGCAUGCCUUACACAUGCCAGUCGAACGGCAGCACGGGUGCUUGCACCUGGUGGCGAGUGGCGAACGGGUGAGUAAUACAUCGGAACAUGUCCUGUAGUGGGGGAUAGCCCGGCGAAAGCCGGAUUAAUACCGCAUACGAUCUACGGAUGAAAGCGGGGGACCUUCGGGCCUCGCGCUAUAGGGUUGGCCGAUGGCUGAUUAGCUAGUUGGUGGGGUAAAGGCCUACCAAGGCGACGAUCAGUAGAUGGUCUGAGAGGACGACCAGCCACACUGGGACUGAGACACGGCCCAGACUCCUACGGGAGGCAGCAGUGGGGAAUUUUGGACAAUGGGCGAAAGCCUGAUCCAGCAAUGCCGCGUGUGUGAAGAAGGCCUUCGGGUUGUAAAGCACUUUUGUCCGGAAAGAAAUCCUUGGCUCUAAUACAGUCGGGGGAUGACGGUACCGGAAGAAUAAGCACCGGCUAACUACGG
rnacentral:rRNA from 1 species